AAAAAAUAUUCAUUGAAAACACAAAUAAGAUUAGUUGCCAAUUUCAAUAAAGAUUGGAUUUUCUUUUAACAACAUAUCGACUCCACGAUCUGUGUAUACAAUCAAGAAAAAAAGAAUUUGCUACAUGAUUAUAUUAAAUUAUAAUCUGAUCAAGCAGUUGGUCCUCAAUUAUAAUUAAUAAUUGCAUUAUUUAUAUAUCAUUAUUCAUGUUUUCCCCGCAUGCAUAGCCUCUAUCUUCCUGACAUUAAAUUGACGAGAUGUUGAUUUUCAUAGAAGGAGCCAACAUCCCAAUCCUCAGUUGAGGAUGAAAGGGUCAUUAAGGCAACCACAAUAGAUCUCAUACUCGGACGUAAGUGAGGAUUCUCGUGUGUACAUGCCUUGGCAAGCUGGGCCAUCUUUCGGACUGAAUCAAGUGGAUAGUUAUCUUCAAGCCUUGGGUCAAUCAAUUUGCAAAGCUCUUCUCUAGGAUCAGGUUCAUUAAGAACUUCUUCAAACUGUAAAAACAUUAAAACAAAGGUCAGUUCAUGUGCAUUUUCUGGAAGCUAAUUAAGGCAAGUCAUGGCAAUUAACAGGCUUAGAACUUUGAUGUGUCCUAAACAUAUUUCUCUAGCUUACAAUUCAAUUGAGCUUAUCUAAGCCUUAAUCACAAACAAGUCAACUGAUAAAGAAAGAGGGCAGAAAAUUAACCAAAGCAACAAGGCCCUUUGUUUCAGCACUAGAACCAUUUAUCUUGACAAUUGCAUCCUUCGCAGAAAUAAGUUCAUAAAGGACAACUCCAAAGGCAUAAACAUCCACUUUUGGAGAAACAUCUCCAUAUUGUGCAUAUUCUGGUGGCAUGUAUCCAAAUGUACCCACAAGACGUGUAGGGAGCGAUGAACCUCCAACCUCUGUUAGUUUUGUUAACCCAAAAUCUGCAACCUUUCCACGGAAGUUCUUGUCAAUCAAUAUGUUGGCUGACUUAAUAUCACGAUGGAUAUAAACAGGAACAGUAUGCUCAUGGAUAUAUUCAAGGCCUCUAGCUGAAUCAAGGGCAAUUUGCACCCUAGCAGACCAUGGCAAUGGAUCCCUCCCAGAGCCACGCAAAUGUUGGCUUAAGUUUCCAUUCUCAAUGUACUCAUAAACAAGGAAAAGAGAACCCUCAACACAAUAUCCAAUUAAUCGGACCAGGUUCAAGUGAUGAACAUGUGUUAAAACCUUUAGUUCAGCAAAAAAUUCUUUCGAAGCUUGCAUGUCCAUUUUCUUGAUUGCAGCUUUCUCGUUUCUCAGUUCUGCAUAGUACACAGACCCAAAGCCACCUUCGCCAAUCUUAUUAGCCAUACUGAAGUUAUCAGUAGCCUGGGCAAGUUCUUCAUAUGAGAACUCCACUGAUUUAUCCACAGUUAUGCCAGUAAGGACUGGAGACGGCGCCAGACCGGUUGAUUCCACAGGUUUAUCUGAGUUACUUCCAGGAGCUUGCAAAGCUUGAGCAGAGAGAUCAUUAGAUCCAGAAAGCAAUAUUGCUUUCUUCAACUUCUUUUUCUGAUAAACUCCAAAGUACACAAUAACUGCUACUAACAGCACCACAGCUACUGCCCCUAUGGAUAUGCCAGCAAUAACUCCACCUGCUAUCCCUGUGCUUGAUGUCAGAGGCCGAUAGCUAUUAUUGUCAUCUUUGCCUGGAAUAUAAACCAAACCACUCCCUUGACUAAAAUUGGCACCAACAUUAUAUCUCUGCAGCAAGUUAGCACUGAUAUUGGAUGCAUUUGCAAUAGAAUCAAGAGUAUCUUCAGGCCGAAGUGGGUACGUAAUAAACAAACCAUAAUCCUUUGAAAUCGAACUAUCCCCACAUGAGCAAUUCACGGUGACAUUAAGCGCACCGGUGUCGGGUAUAUUGUUCUCCGGAUAGCUAUUGAACUGCUUCAACCAGUUAACCGUGGUCAAGUUAGAAUAGUACCGGUUGGCGACGACGUCGUAGGUAUCACCAGUUACCACGUUGUACUGAAACACGUGGCCGAGGAAUUCACCGUUGAUACAGUCGCACGGGAAAGGGAUGUUGAUUCUGAUCCCUGCUUGGACACUGUCCAUGUUUGGGACUUGAUCUCUGUUGUAGCUGACAAUUGUGUUGGGCGAUUCUAGAAUGGAUGAUUUCAUAACAUCGGCGAUGAAGGAGAGGUUUGUCCCUUGCCAGACAUAGUAAGAACCCAAAGCCAAAUCGCAGCCUUUGGAGCAUUUGGACUCGGUAAAGCAGCAGAAACAUAGUAGCAGCAAAAACCCAAAGGCGAAUUUUGAUAAUGAAUUCAUUGAGUAAAUUUGGGGGAGAGAUUUUUCUGGUAUGGGAAAGAACAGAAAUUUAAAUUGAAGAAGAAUUUGAUGUAUUCUGUGAAGGGUUGACUGGGUUUUUCAUUAGUUUAAAAACAAUUAGGUUGAUUAGUUGAUAUUGAUGAUGAUUAAGACUUGUUGAAAAGGACAUUCUUGUAGGACUAAAGAAUGGAUUAACUAUUAAGAGAUGAAUGAUUGACGCCGUCGUGUUCUGAGCUCUUCAAUGGAGAAUGCUACAGUGAAUUCACGCGGCUUUCUGGUGUUA
rnacentral:misc_RNA from 1 species